UAUAAGUUUGCUGCCUUGGUCACAGUGUC
rnacentral:piRNA from 1 species